UGUGUGUUUUUGUGAUUGAUCUAGUAAAACUAUAAAUUAAGCAGAUCUAAAACUCAUAAAUCAAAACAAUAAAAAAGAAUUAUAUUGAAAUAUAUUUUACUUUCUUCCUAUUAUCUUAUUCUACUUUGAAUAGAAAGAUGCCUUAUGGACAACUUGAAGUUUAUAUUGGAUAUGCAAGAGGCCUUGAAGAUCAAAAUUGGCUCACUGAUAUGAAUCCAUAUGCGAUCAUUACUUGCCAUACUGAAGAGAAGAAAACUAGUACUGCAUCAGGUUAGUAGUACCUACAUAGUUUUAACCUGUAACAAAACGGUCUUUUAACAACGUAAGCUUUUUAUGAUUGUCAAUUCAUCAUAUGAUCUAUUAACUAAAUUCAUAUCUUAUAGGUGAAGGAGAGGAUCCUGAGUGGAAUGAGUCCUUCUUAUUCACUGUUUCUCGUAGUUGUGACGAGGUUCACAUCAAGAUUAUGGAUGAAAAUACGAUUGAAGAUGAUGAUUUUAUAGGAGAAACAACGUUAAUAAUCUCUCUAUUUCCCUUCUCAACUACAAACAUUAACUUUAUAUUAUGUAAAUAAUAUAUAGUCUCUAAUACAUGGUUCUUUUUGAUAUUGAAUUAUCAACACAUACUUCAAUUAGAAGAAGUAUUUCGCGAAGGAGAAGUUGAAGCAACCAUGUAUGACCUUUACAAGGAUGAUGAAAAUUGUGGAUCCGUCAAAAUUGGCCUCACUUUUACUCGCGAGGAGAGGGAUGAAUAUGACGAGGACUACUAGUUUACGCUGUCCAGUCCAAGAAGUUGAGUUUAUGAGAGGGUCGUUGAGUUAUCCAUACAACAAGAAAUAGUCCUAGGAAUAAAUUAUGAAACCAUAUUGAAAUGUUUGUUUCAAUUAUCAAUUUCUUAGUUUUUUGUAUGAAUAACAUAUGCAUUGGUUAUGCUGUAAUUUUUUGUAUUUAAUCGAUAUGAAUUUAAAGUGAAAUUGAAAUAUACGCGUUAGAAAAUUCUACAUUUAUAUCAUCAAUUUUUAAUUAGUUGAUUGUUGGUAUGUCAUCUCCCAUGCAUGUUUACUUCUAAUUCUAAUACAUGUAGUAUGCAUUUUGAAAUUAGUAAAUUAUUCCAAAUUUAAGAUGGUUGUAGUAUUUCAUAUAUUUGUAAUAAUAUGAAACUAUAACUAGCAAUUAGUGUUACAUAAAUGGAAAUUUUAUGAAUGUUAAUGUUAGAAGUUAUCUCAUCUUCUAAAUUCAAUAUUUCUUAAAGAGGCUCGCUAUAUUU